GGGCCCGUAGCUCAGCCUGGAAGAGCACCGGACGCCCGACCCGGGGGUCGCGGGUUCGAAUCCCGCCGGGCCCG
rnacentral:tRNA from 1 species